rnacentral:rRNA from 1 species
GAGAGGUUCGAUUCUGGCUCAGGAUGAACGCUAGCUACAGGCUUAACACAUGCAAGUCGAGGGGUAGCAGGGUAGCAAUACCGCUGACGACCGGCGCACGGGUGAGUAACACGUAUCCAACCUUCCCAUAACUCAGGGAUAGCCUUUCGAAAGAAAGAUUAAUACCUGAUAGACUUUUUUCAAGGCAUCUUGAGAAAGUUAAAGAUUUAUUGGUUAUGGAUGGGGAUGCGUUCCAUUAGAUAGUUGGUGAGGUAACGGCUCACCAAGUCUUCGAUGGAUAGGGGUUCUGAGAGGAAGGUCCCCCACAUUGGUACUGAGACACGGACCAAACUCCUACGGGAGGCAGCAGUGAGGAAUAUUGGUCAAUGGGCGAGAGCCUGAACCAGCCAAGUAGCGUGAAGGAAUGAAGGUCCUAUGGAUUGUAAACUUCUUUUAUAGUAGAAUAAAGUGAUCCACGUGUGGAUUUUUGUAUGUAUACUAUGAAUAAGGAUCGGCUAACUCCGUGCCAGCCGCCGC